rnacentral:lncRNA from 1 species
CUAUUUUCACUAGUUUCAAAGGCUUGAUUGACCUUUGGGAUUGAAUCUGGCUAGGGGGUGCCCUCGUAAAGACUAAAACCUCGUUACGCCGAAAAUAGUAGAGGUGCGACAGCGCUUUGGUAGUGAGUGGAAACUUACUUUCUGUCUGGUUAGUAGGAAUUUCUUGCCUGCUAAGGGAUUAGUCCAAGUUAGACCGAGAAGUAAGAGUUUGUAAUUGAAGUCGGGGGGGCUGAAUAGAUAAAUUCUCUUCCCACGUAGCGCUAAGAAGCAAGUUCCGACAGCCUAUGAUGAAAUAGCACAAAAAAAAAAAAAGGGCUACGCGAAUAAUAGUG